rnacentral:rRNA from 1 species
AUUGAACGCUGGCGGCAGGCCUAACACAUGCAAGUCGAACGAUUGGCGGACGGGUGAGUCAUGUCUGGGAAACUGCCUGAUGGAGGGGGAUAACUACUGUAAACGGUAGCUAAUACCGCAUACCAUCGGAUGUGCCCAGAUGGGAUUAGCUAGUAGGUGGGGUAAAGGCUCACCUAGGCGACGAUCCCUAGCUGUUCUGAGAGGAUGACCAGCAACACUGGAACUGAGACACGGUCCAGACUCCUACGGGAGGCAGCAGUGGGGAAUAUUGCACAAGGGGCGCAAGCCUGAUGAAGCCAUGCCGCGUGGAUGAAGAAGGCCUUCGGGUUGUAAAGUACUUUCAGCGGGGAGGCGUUACCCGAAGAAGAAGCACCGGCUAACUCCGUGCCAGCCGCCGCGGUAAUUC